ACCAGUGGGGAAUAUUGGGCAAUGGAGGAAACUCUGACCCAGCGACGCCGCGUGCGGGAUGAAGGCCUUCGGGUUGUAAACCGCUUUCAGUAGGGAAGAAGCGAAAGUGACGGUACCUACAGAAGAAGCACCGGCUAACUAUGUGCCAGCAGCCGCGGUAAUACAUAGGGUGCAAGCGUUGUCCGGAAUUAUUGGGCGUAAAGAGCUCGUAGGUGGUUCGUUACGUCGGAUGUGAAAAUCUGGGGCUCAACCCCAGACCUGCAUCCGAUACGGGCGAGCUAGAGUUUGGUAGGGGAGACUGGAAUUCCUGGUGUAGCGGUGGAAUGCGCAGAUAUCAGGAGGAACACCAAUGGCGAAGGCAGGUCUCUGGGCCAAUACUGACACUGAGGAGCGAAAGCGUGGGGAGCGAACAGGAUUAGAUACCCCG
rnacentral:rRNA from 1 species